UGGGGAUUAAGAAAGAGAAUUGAUGAUUAUGAUGAAUGUGAUGAUUGUUGAUGUUUGGAGCUAGGUGGUUAUAGCUUAUGAUUGAUGGUUCUAGGUGAUUUGAAAACGGGAAAACAACCUCUAUUUGAAAAGAAAAAAGAGAGUCGGAGCGAUCAGAAAAGAUCAGAUCUUGGAACGGACACUAGUACAAAAUUGGGCUUAAGUAACACCCUUUGGUAACACUUUAAAAAUUUCAUGAUUGUUUGAGUUUUAGGUAACACUUUUGUAACAUUGUGGUAUUAGGUAACAUUUUUAGUAGCACUUUAAUAUUAUGUAACACUUUAUUGUAACACUUUGAUAUUAGGUAGCACUUGGUUGUAACAAUUAAUUUGAUAUGAUCAAUUUUUUCUUUUUAAUCAAAUAUUUUUUUACCAAUAUUUUUUUAUAGGAAAAAAAAAUACACUCUUCGUCUUGUCAAAAGAUCGAACCCUCAUAACCUCACUGUUGGUUGUCUCCUAACUUUCUUCCUCCCCCAAGAUUUCCUCGGCUUCCACCGUUGCCCCCAUCUUUCUCCCGCUGCUCCACUGUAGCCCCCGUCCAUUGCAGCCUCCCUCCAUCGCAACUCGUGCUCUAACUUGUACGUACCCAACGGCCCCGUGCUCCAAGUUAAAGGGACAACGAUUGCCACCCCCAAAGACAGCGGUUGCCACCUCCUUGCCUCCAUCCUCUCUCGGCAGCUUUCACCUUAAAGUUAGGGUUGGGCUUGUCGAGAAUCCAAAUAAUUGCAAGCGAAAGAGAUCCAGAAAUUCAAAGCAAUGCCAGUUAUAAUUGGAGACAUGAUGUUUCAUAUACAAACUACUGCUGCGUGUUAUUCCUGCUACUGCCCAAACCACCACUCCUGGCAAAGUGGCAAGUUUUGCUUUUUUUUUUACUAAUAUUAAGCUCUAAUUAUAUAAUUGGAUUUUUAUUUUUCAUUUUCUUGAUUAUUUGUUACUUUUGUAAGAAAUUUGUGAUAAUUGCAUCAGUUGUCACAUUUUCCAGGCUUUAAUUUUGUGAGAUAAAGAUGAUUAAUUGGCUAAUUUUCUGCAA